rnacentral:rRNA from 1 species
AUUGAACGCUGGCGGCAUGCCUUACACAUGCAAGUCGAACGGUAACAGGUUAAGCUGACGUGUGGCGAACGGGUGAGUAAUGUAUCGGAACGUGCCCAGUCGUGGGGGAUAACUGCUCGAAAGAGCAGCUAAUACCGCAUACGACCUGAGGGUGAAAGCGGGGGAUCGCAAGACCUCGCGCGAUUGGAUCGGCCGAUAUCCGAUUAGGUAGUUGGUGGGGUAAAGGCUCACCAAGCCGACGAUCUGUAGCUGGUCUGAGAGGACGACCAGCCACACUGGGACUGAGACACGGCCCAGACUCCUACGGGAGGCAGCAGUGGGGAAUUUUGGACAAUGGGCGCAAGCCUGAUCCAGCCAUGCCGCGUGCGGGAAGAAGGCCUUCGGGUUGUAAACCGCUUUUGGCAGGGAAGAAAAGGUGCUGGCUAAUACCUGGGACUCAUGACGGUACCUGAAGAAUAAGCACCGGCUAACUACGUG